rnacentral:lncRNA from 1 species
GCCAACACAGCCAUCUAAACACUGACAGUAAAGGUAACCACAGACUUCCUCUUCUAUUGCUUAGCUUCUAGCACAAAGCUCACAUUUUCAGCAAGGUUGGUGUUACCCAGACAGACAACUCUUUUUCUCUACAAAUGCUUUUUCAUUUGUCGUCAACUGAGUAAACAAGUGUAUCAUGUUUGUAUAGAAUGAGGGUGCGUUCUGUUCUGUUGGUUACCAAGACAAACGCAGUACAGAAGAAUCCCUCAAAGCAUCCCCUGUUUGGAUGAAAGCCCAGGAACACAAGAACUCAUCUUCAAGAGCACUAUCAGACCGUAGACUCUACGCUACUUAAAAGGGCUAGAAAAAUUUGUCUGAGAAAAUACCAAGGAUAUGAAAACAACAAAGUAGAAAAUAAAAUCUUUAUCCAGCAAAAGCACGUCGAGUGUGAUUUAACUAACAAAUAUUUUAGUUUAAGUCUUUCUUCUGUCACAUUUUAAUUAGUCCCUUCUGCUUCAAAAAAUAUAAAUAC